rnacentral:rRNA from 1 species
ACGUAGGAAGCAAGCGUUAUCCGGAUUUACUGGGCGUAAAGUGAGCGUAGGUGGCCUUUCAAGUCAGAUGUGAAAUCUCCUGGCUUAACCAGGAGGGGUCAUUUGAUACUGUUGGGCUAGAGGACAUCAAGGGAAGGUGGAAUUCCGGGUGUAGUGGUGAAAUGCGUAGAUAUCCGGAGGAACACCAGUGGCGAAGGCGGCCUUCUGGGAUGUUUCUGACACUGAGGCUCGAAAGUGUGGGGAGCGAACAGGAUUAGAUACCCUGGUAGUCCACACUGUAAACUAUGGACACUAGGUAUAGGGAGUUUCGACCCUCUCUGUGCCGAAGCCAACGCUUUAAGUGUCCCGCCUGGGGACUACGGCCGCAAGGUUA